GGUCCUCCGCUCCUGCAGUCUAUUCGAACUCCGGUCAUGGCGGCGGCCUCAUCUUGUGCCGCUUCGCUUCGCCCUUCUUCUUUCCUCGGAGUCGGACUGUCGCAGCAUCGUCUGGAGAAUCUAAGAUACACAUCGAAGUCUCAACUUGCAGGGUCCACAUGUAAAGUUCUUGCGCUAUUUUGGGGGCCUAGAAAGAGUAAUGAGCCACGUGAAUUGAAUCCUUCCUUGGGGACAUUUGAGUUGCUAAAAUCAUCAUCAGAGGAUGACCAACUGGACGGUUUGAAUCCUGGGGAGGUAUUUCUGUCAGUUGUUUCAUCAAUUUCAGAUAUCCCUGCUGAGCAAUGGGAUGCAUGUGCAAUUGAUGCAACUGGACCUGAAAAGUUUAAUCCUUUCAUCAGUCAUGCUUUUCUCUCAAGCUUGGAGGAGUCACGUUCUGCUGUAAAGGAAACAGGAUGGCUGCCUCAGCAUAUUGUUGCUCAAGAUAAAUAUAAAAACAUUAAUGGUGUUGUUCCACUUUAUCUUAAAAGUCACUCUUAUGGAGAGUACGUCUUUGAUCAUUCUUGGGCUGAUGCUUACUACAGAUAUGGCUCUCGAUACUAUCCCAAACUUCAAUCAUGUGUUCCUUUUACUCCAGUGACAGGCCACAGAAUAUUAGUUCGUAAAACUUGGUAUAGAGAUCAGGUGUUUGAUAUGUUAGUCAUGGCUCUGAAGGAACUGACUUCCAAGUUGCAAGUCUCAUCAUUGCAUGUCACUUUUCCCUUGGAAUUUGAAUGGGACAAGUUCAAGCAAAAUGGAUUCUUGCAGAGAAUAGGGAUGCAAUAUCACUGGAAAAAUCGCAACUAUAUCAAUUUUGAGGAGUUUUUGAUGGAUAUGAAGCAAAGCAAGCGAAAAAAUAUCCGUCAAGAGAGGAAAAAGGUUUUCUCUCAAAAUUUGAAGAUGAAGCGCCUUUUGGGGGACGAAAUAAAGGGCAAGCACUGGGAUACAUUUUAUAAGUUCUACAGAAACACAACGGAUAACAAAUGGGGUAGUGCUUAUCUCACGAGGGACUUCUUUCACAUGCUGGGAUCAAAGUUGACAGACCAUCUAUUGCUCAUUGUUGCUGAAGAUGAGGGUGAACUUGUUGCUGGUGCUCUUAACGUUAUUGGAGGUGACACACUUUUUGGUCGCUUAUGGGGUUGUCUACCACGCGUUUAUUUUCCAAAUUUGCAUUUUGAGGCCUGCUACUAUCAGGUAAACGUUUUGUAGCAGUGUUUGCAAAGGCUAGUCGCCUUCCCUUGACAUUUGAAGCAAUCAGUCUAGAGGCAAAUAGCAAUUGAAGCUGCUAUUGAGUUGAACUUGAGCAAAGUGGAGGCGGGAGCUCAAGGAGAACAUAAAAUUCAGCGUGGUUAUCUUCCAGUUACCACAUUCAGCUGCCACUACAUUCUGGAUGAUGAUUUUCGAAAAGUGAUUGACAAUUUUCUUGUGUAUGAAACAGAGCAGGUUAAGCACGUAAUGGAGUUGCUCCAUGAAUCUGGCCCCUUCAAAGAAGGAAUUGUAUGAGCAUCAUAGCUUUGAUUCCGCCUGGAUUAUGUUUAAGAUAAAUCAUCGAAAGCGAAGCAGCACACAUCAUAUGUUGUUUGUAUCAGAGUUCCUCUUAUUAUCUAACCAUCAUUACUUAAUUUAUUUGUGAUUUAUAGUUAACGUAAUAUUUCAUAAAAGACAAAGGAAAUCGUCUUCAUUAGUUUU